rnacentral:rRNA from 1 species
AUUGAACGCUGGCGGCAGGCCUAACCCAUGCAAGUCGAGCGAGCGGCGGACGGGUGAGUAAUGUCUGGGAACCUGCCUGAUGGAGGGGGAUAACUACUGGAAACGGUAGCUAAUACCGCAUACCAUCAGAUGUGCCCAGAUGGGAUGAGCUAGUAGGUGGGGUAACGGCUCACCUAGGCGACGAUCCCUAGCUGGUCUGAGAGGAUGACCAGACACAAUGGAACGGAGACACGGGCCAGACUCCUACGGGAGGCAGCAGGGGGGAAUAGUGCACAAGGGGCGCAAGCCUGAUGAAGCCAUGCCGCGUGUGUGAAGAAGGCCUUCGGGUUGUAAAGCACUUUCAGCGGGGAGGCGUUACCCGCAGAAGAAGCACCGGCGAACUCCGUGCCAGCAGCCGCGGUAAUUC